UACGAAGGGGGCUAGCGUUGCUCGGAAUGACUGGGCGUAAAGGGCGCGUAGGCGGUUUGUACAGUCAGAUGUGAAAUUCCUGGGCUUAACCUGGGGGCUGCAUUUGAUACGUGCAGACUUGAGUGAGGAAGAGGGUUGUGGAAUUCCCAGUGUAGAGGUGAAAUUCGUAGAUAAUGGGAAGAACACCGGUGGCGAAGGCGGCAACCUGGUCCUUGACUGACGCUGAGGCGCGACAGCGUGUGGAGCAAACAGG
rnacentral:rRNA from 1 species